CUGCCCAAUGUUAUAAUUAAUGGCCGCGGUAUUUUGACCGUGCGAAGGUAGCAUAAUAAAUAGUCUAUUAAAUGUGGUCUGGAAUGAAAGGUCUUACGAGGAUUAACUUUUUUAACUUUAUUUUUGAAUUUUAAUUAUUAGUGAAAAUGCUGAUGUGAUUUAGGGGGACGAGAAGACCCUAUAGAGCUUUAUAUAUUUAAUAUAGUGGUGGUGUAUAGUUAUGUUAGUUAUAUUUUGUUGGGGCGACAAUAAUUUAGAAUCAAUUAUUUAUUAAGCUUUAAUUGAAGUUUUAAUGAUCCAUUAUUAAUGAUUGCUAGGCUAAGUUACCUUAGGGAUAACAGCGUAAUUUUAUUUUAGAGUUCUUAUCGAUAAUAAAGUUUGCGACCUCGAUGUUGGAUUAAGGUUCUUUUAGGGCGUAGCCGUUUUAGAAAGUAGUCUGUUCGACUAUUAAAAUCUUACAUGAUCUGAGUC
rnacentral:rRNA from 1 species